CUUAACUAUAAAUUACAUAGUUGAUGUUAACUGUGUCAAUCAGUAAACAUGUUAUUGAUCUAAAUGAAGCCAUUUUAAAAUCAGAGUUUCCUUCAUUGUUGUAAUAGGUGAAUCUCACCCUCAGUGAGUUUGGAGAAAGUACUAGAUACUGCCGUGUUGGUGCUUGGUGACAGGCCAAACACAUUCAGUGAUUCCAGGAGGGUUUUUUUACUGGCUGGACCCCGACUCACUCUAGUAUAGGCAGCCAGAGAUCUGAGGGACAUUUUCUCAGGUGGUUCCAGCCUCCGUUUUACUUCCUCAUAAUGGAUUUCGUACUUCCUGGCUUUUGAGCUCUUCAUGUUCGGAUCCAGCAGAGAUGCGACCUCUGCAAAGGGGACCUGCAGUGAUGAUCUGGCACCAUCCUGAGACACUGCGACACUCUCACUUUGUGAUGAGCCUUGUGGAACAUGAACUUGUGAUGGCGCAUGGCUUUGAGACUGCACAUGACUCUGUGAUUGUCCAUGACUUUGAGACUGCAUGUGACUCUGUGAUUGUACAUGACUUUGAGACUGCAUGUGACUCUGUGAUUGGCCAUGGCUUUGAGACUGCAUGUGACUCUGUGAUUGUACAUGACUUUGAGACUGCAUGUGACUCUGUGAUUGGCCAUGGCUUUGAGAUUGGCCCCGUCCUUGACCAUGGCCAUGCAUUGAAGCCUGUACUUGUGAUGCUAUCUGAACUGUAUGUGGUACACUUUGACAGGUGACAUCUUGUGGCAGGACAUGUUGCGUAAUGAUCUGCGCAAUGUUGGGGGCCUGUGGCGGAGUCGAAUACAUUGUUAUGAUAGGAUUCCCAACAGUCACAUGGACCACCUCACUGUCUCCAGGAACAGAGUUGGUAACUACUGCUCUAACAGCACAUCCUGGUGUGUUUUAUUCUUUAAAUAUCACUUAAUAUCAUAAUGAUCAGAUCACAAAUAUCAAAAGAAAGGUUAGGAAACAGUGUGAAAAAAUUGAGAUUUUUUUUUUCAAACAUUUGCUCACAAUAUUUAUUAACAUUUAGAAAUCUGGUCCUGGUAAGUAAAGCAUGUACAGUCAAUUGUUGUUUCCAGUUUGAACCUUAAAAAUAUGUUUCGUUGUCAUGGUUAUUUGCUUAUAUGUAUGUUGGCUAAAAAGAACUAUAAUAAUAUUUGCAGUUUGUUGAAAGAGAAACCAUAAAGUGUUUUGUGAAAUAUAGAUAAUCUUUUCACAACUGUGUUUAGGAAAAGGUCUAAACCUUGUCAUGACAGUUGGAAAUUAGCAAGUUAAUCACUCUGUAUUAAUGAAUUCUGAUGCUUUAAAUGUAUAAAUGCUAUUAUUUUUCCCCUGAUAUUUUCAUUAUUUAAGCACUAUGAAUCUCUUCUCUAUUUUGGACAUCAUGAUUGGUUAAGGACAUUAAUGCAGUGGUAAUCACAUCGGUGGUGAGAUUAAAAACAGAAAAAAAUCCAUGAAGCCUCCUGUGUUUUCCACAGCCCACCCCACUUGAAACACUAUCACACAACAACAUUCAGAGCCCCUGCGGCUGCUGAUGAUAAAUGAUCUGCCUCUCAACUGCCUCCACGUUCGGAACAGAUAAGGAUAAUGAAAGCUAUGGCACAAACUUCAUACUUAGGAGUUUGUAGAUUUUAAAGGGUUCUGAUUUAAAAAGAAACAUUCACUCAAAUUUUUACAUUUUUACAAGGAGAGUUGAUGUAUUUUAAAAAAGCAUGUCAAUGUUCAAAAAGCAUGUUAACCCUUUACUGCAUGGUGUUGCCAUAUGGCAAAAAUUAAUUUAUCUCCAAUUUUUUGACAGGCAGUAAUAGAAAACUACUAUUUUCCUAUGUAAUUGGGAAAAGUGGGCUUAACUUUGACAUUAAAAAGUGCCAUCUCAAGCAUUUGGUGUUAUUUUUUACUAUUAUGCUAUACUACUUGACUGUAUAUACUAUAUAAUUUACUUUCCACCAAUGCACAUUGUUGCCAUAUGGCAACAAUUUACCAACUUACCCCUCUAAAAAAAAUGUCACAUUUUUUAAGUAUAUUUUUUUCUUGAACUAAUUCAAGUAAUAAAAAUCCAUAAAAAACAUAUUUUGAUGUAAAAGUAACAAUUCAUGCAGUAGAGGGUUAAUACUUCUGUGAAUGUUAAUUUCAAUGGAAAUCAAAUUUGGAUAUGGUUUUUGAAAGUCCUGCUAUAAUUAUCUAUAUCAUUUAUAAUCCAUUAGACAACAUAUGUGAGAAUGAGUGUUUAAUGUAUUUAUGUAAUGUAAUGUAAUGUAUGUAUUUAAUGUAUAUAUGUCUCUCUGGCUUUGUCUGUUUAAGCCUAUAUGCCUAUAAGCCUAAGUUGUGUUCAGUCAACACUGAUGAAGAUUGAUAAUGUUAUAAUUGAGGUAAAGCAUUAGAGAACAAUGAUACCUUGUCAUAAACAUGUAUAGGUCCUGGGAGAUUCUUCAUGACUCUUUAUUAGGAAUUAGCUUCGGUUGGAAUUAGUUUCAACAGAAGGAGUUAAUAGGAUUGGGAACUGGUUCCUUUCUGGCCUGGGACUUCAUAUGAGUGAUAAAAACAUCACUCAUAUACGUACAUGUUAGUGUGAAGCUGCAUGUUUGAGUGCAUAGAAAAGCUUUGAUCUAGUGAAUAUUAGCUGUAUUACCCACUGGUCUUAAGCGAUUCACUGAGAUUUUCAGUGACUAAACACAGUUUCCUGCUGCUUCGUUUAAAACCUUUCGACAUGUUUUAACAUUUAGCUUCCUAAACUCCUGCCGGGUAUUUUUUUGAUAUUGUCACGACUGUACCGGCAGCACAAAGACUGUUGUGUCUGUAAGGUCCUUAAAUUUGCAAUGAGAGUUGGAGGGGCUGCCAGCAAUUUAACCAUUGUGUUGCCAUGACAACGGCAGUAUCUGUAGAAAAUGUAGAAGAUUCUGUCUCCUCCAUUAAAGGCAAUGUUUAUCGAGGGAGCAGAUUACUGGCAAUGAUGAGUGUAUAAUGCAGUAUAUUAGAGAAGAGGUCAAAUGUGUGGGGGGAUGAAUGCAUGAUCUGAGAGUGGAAUAUAUGCAUGGUGUUGUGGGAGCACUGUUUCAAUCGGCCAGUGUGAAUGCCACUAGCAGAAAGGUCACCUAUGGGCUUCCAGCUGUUGUUUGUACUAUUAUAUGCCAGCAUGCUAUGUCAGUUAUUUGUGAAUAGCACUAACUGAAAGAAUGUGUAAAAUUUUGCAAAAUGCUUUUGUAUAAUUACUAGAGCAUUUGACAAAAUCUAAAUUGGAUUCUGCCCUGUGAAAGUUGCCUGAAGAAAAUAACAGUAAUGAGUCUCUAACAAGAUUGGAGAUAUUUGUAGAGCAUUCAUAACAUUUUAAUUUCUUUUAAUAUUUAUAUAGGUUUUUUAUAGUAUACAGUAUUUAGCUUUGUGCAUGUGAACUUCCCUCUGACUGGUCAUUGAUUUUGUGUCUCUUUGCCUAUUUCUGUGUUGAUAUGAAGGUAUGUUUCACUAAUGAUCUUGAUGAAAGCAGUUGAUUUUGAAAUUUGAAGUAACUAAAUUCUACAAUUAUGACAUUUGGGCUCCUUUCUUUACUAUCCUCCUCACUGUGUAGUGGGACAAUGUGCUCAUGGGUCCAAAAAUAAUGCUAUUUUUGUGCUUAUGUAUUUUUUAUAUCCAUAUCUUGAUGUGUAUCCAGGUUAACAAAUAUUUAACUCUCUUGGGUUGAAAGCUCUUUGCUUUUCCAUAGUAAUGGAUGACAAAGCUAUUUUGCAUGUGUGGAACCUCAUAUUUAUACUCUAGGAAACAGGACAUUAAAAACAACAGUGUGUGUUUUAUAUCUAGACACACAGUUGUUGUCUUGGGGGCAUGGUGGCUCCAAAAUUCCUCCAAGUGCAUAGCAGCUACACAUCCAGCAAGUCACAAAAGAGCCAAGGACAACAUCAAAGGACCUACAGGCCUCUCUUGGAUCAAUAAAGGUCACUGUUCAUGACUCCGCUAUCAGAAAAACACUUGGCAAUCAAAAAUGACAUCCAUGGAAGAGGUUGUGCUGCAACUCUUUUGAGUGUCUGCUGGCUCUUACCUCUCACCGUACCUGGCACACCUGACAGGGUGACUAUUAGUUGUGGUUCCAUAAACUACAUAUUAUCAAACAAACUGUCCCUUAUAACCUGAGUAAUCAUGAUUGCUACUUGUGUAAAAUCUUCCCAAGCAAUGUCAAUGUCUAAUGACACCAGUUUCAUAGGUGUCCUAAUUCCUUUUCUCUGUUUUGUUCCUUUAAUUUUUUUUUUUUAAACAUAUCUUUGUUUAUGCCUAUGAAUAUUUGUAAAUUUGAAGUGGAUAUAUGUACUGGUAGUAUAUUGAAUAGCAAAAAUAUGAAUAUCUAUUUCCUACAUCAUUUCUUAAAGCUAGAAUUAAUAUGCACUACCUUCAACAGUUCUACAAGACAUCCUUUGGGUUAUUAGCUCACUAAAAGGAACCUUUACAGAAACCCAAAGGGGCUUUGGAAUAAAGCAACAACUGCAGAAUCCUUAAAGCUUGUAGAUGUAGUAUGUAGUGUGUAUCACCUUUAGACCUAAUAGGCUCUGUUUUUAUUACUGUGAAUGGAAAGAUACAAGGUAAACACAUGUGGGUAGAUAUGUUGAAUGCUUUAAAUGUAAAACUCUACUGACCGUUUUCUUUCUACAUUAUGCCACAAAUAUGUUGCUCAGAGGGCUAUAAUAAAU
ensembl:lncRNA